GGUAGGAUGGCCGAGCAGGCGGUGGAUUGUAGCUCCAUGCACAGAGGUUUAAGCCCUCUUCCUAUCA
rnacentral:tRNA from 1 species